GGGAACACUGUGCACGGCAGGGGGAGAUGGUGUGGAGCUGGAAGGUGUAUCCUGCUGCUGCUGCCCGCAUGGGAUGGGGUUUGUGGGUGGUCAAAGUGCCCCCAGCCCCAGCGAGAGGAGCGUCAGAGAUCAAUGUCCAACCUGGCAUCAGCUGCAGCAACUUCAGGCGUGGCCGUUGCAGAGAGAGCCCAACCGAUGCUGCUGCUCUCACCAGCAGCCCCGGUGCCCUGAGCUUCUCCCAGGCUGUGCCCUGGCUCACCACUGCAUGACCAGCUCACGGAUGGAACAAGGAUUUGGAGACGGGACCGGGCUGUGCCUCGCACUCGUGGUCACUCCUCCAGCCCUGCGUGGGGCAGAUGGCAUCUCCCUAAAGAGUGAAUGGAGGUCUUCUAGGGAUGCUCUCCCUGGCACGUUCCCAACUCGGGAUGCAGCCGCGGUACGUUUGGGUCUAAGAGGACCAUCUCCUGACUCGGGGGCUGCCUCGGCGAGCCUGAAAGAGCCCCGCAGCUCCAUCUGCCCCGGGGACAAUCCCAGUGCUUAUGGGAACCACAUGGCCGACAUCUGGGGGAACAGGAAACGGCAGCCAGCGUCGUCCCAGCAACGGCGCAUCCCGCUGCCCUCACCCGCAGCGUGACGGCCAUGGGAUCGGCUGCUCGGGGAACGCGAAGCACAAGGCCACGGUGACUGAUUGAUGGGCCGGGCUCACCGGGGAGGGAUAUGAUUAAUAAGUGUUAUGGCCCCUUUGUUCCCGCUGCGCGGGCUGUCAGUGCCGCUUAGCUCUGACGGACGCUUUGAUGACUCUAUGGCCGUGAGCGAACCGCCGCCGUGAUGGAUCUCUGCCAGCAGAAUGAAAUCUGCUCCGGGCCCGGUCCUCUCUUCCCCCAGCACAAUAGUGAGGCCGGGCUGCAUUGUGAGGGCUCUUCCCAUCGCAUCGCCCCCAUCCCUUCCUUAUAGGAUGGACG
ensembl:lncRNA